GAUGAACGCUGGCGGCGUGCCUAAUACAUGCAAGUCGAGCGAACAGAUGAGGAGCUUGCUCCUCUGACGUUAGCGGCGGACGGGUGAGUAACACGUGGAUAACCUACCUAUAAGACUGGGAUAACUUCGGGAAACCGGAGCUAAUACCGGAUAAUAUAUUGAACCGCAUGGUUCAAUAGUGAAAGACGGUUUUGCUGUCACUUAUAGAUGGAUCCGCGCCGCAUUAGCUAGUUGGUAAGGUAACGGCUUACCAAGGCAACGAUGCGUAGCCGACCUGAGAGGGUGAUCGGCCACACUGGAACUGAGACACGGUCCAGACUCCUACGGGAGGCAGCAGUAGGGAAUCUUCCGCAAUGGGCGAAAGCCUGACGGAGCAACGCCGCGUGAGUGAUGAAGGUCUUCGGAUCGUAAAACUCUGUUAUUAGGGAAGAACAAAUGUGUAAGUAACUAGGCACGUCUUAACGGUACCUAAUCAGAAAGCCACGGCUAACUACGUGC
rnacentral:rRNA from 1 species